ACCUUCACCGGAAGGAAAGGGCUUCAAACAUACCAUCAAGUUGGAAACUUGCUUAUUACAUGACAUGCGAACAUAGUUCAUCUUCAAGAGUGACAAAAUCAAAUGCAGCCGCCCAACAAAAUGGCCUCAAUCUCUUCUUCUGAAAUUGGGGUGCGCUUUGGCAGGAGAGAAGCCUUCCCACCUCCAGCAGUAUGGGAUGGUGGUGGAGGAACAUCCGACCUGUAUCUAUAGCUUCGAGUCUCGGUAGUUGUUGAGCUCUUUUCUGGCUGGGCGGAUUGAGAGAAAAGCUUCUGACCGGCAGCCGCGGGAGAGGAUCCGGAUCCUGAGGGCUUUACGUGCCUCUGAGGG
rnacentral:misc_RNA from 1 species